AUUGAACGCUGGCGGCAGGCCUAACACAUGCAAGUCGAACGGUAACAGGAAGAAGCUUGCUUCUUUGCUGACGAGUGGCGGACGGGUGAGUAAUGUCUGGGAAACUGCCUGAUGGAGGGGGAUAACUACUGGAAACGGUAGCUAAUACCGCAUAACGUCGCAAGACCAAAAAGGGGGACCUUCGGGCCUCUUGCCAUCGGAUGUGCCCAGAUGGGAUUAGCUAGUAGGUGGGGUAACGGCUCACCUAGGCGACGAUCCCUAGCUGGUCUGAGAGGAUGACCAGCCACACUGGAACUGAGACACGGGCCAGACUCCUACGGGAGGCAGCAGUGGGGAAUAUUGCACAAUGGGCGCAAGCCUGAUGCAGCCAUGCCGCGUGUAUGAAGAAGGCCUUCGGGUUGUAAAGUACUUUCAGCGGGGAGGAAGGGAGUAAAGUUAAUACCUUUGCUCAUGGACGUUACCCGAAGAAGAAGCACCGGCUAACUCCGU
rnacentral:rRNA from 1 species